rnacentral:tRNA from 1 species
GCUGUAAUGACAGAUUAAUGUAUUAAAUUUAGAAUUUAAAAAUGAAUUAAAAUUCUUACAGUA